UCCCGCUUAUAUCACCUAGUAAAACUCAUGGACACCCUGCGAUAGAUUUCUUGAUGGUGAUAACAAAACAAUAAGAGGUAACAGAAAAUAGAAAAUAAAAUCGUGGGGAUUCCAGGAACGAUGACCGCCCGGCUGAUGGACCUCAGGACGCUGCCUUCUCCCGUCCUCGCAGGGCAUAUAUUUCCAGGAGUCAGGCAACAGUAUUACAAGUUCAAGAGUAGUUGUGGGUUCAAAUUACAAAACAAUCUGACAACUGUAGGAAGAAGAUUCUGUCAAUGUAUGAAUUCAAAUGUGAGAUGCUCUGCAGAAGAUGUUGGCCUUGAAAAGGAUUCAAAUGUAGCUUCUUCUGAUAUUUCAUUUUAUGAUGCACGAGUCCUUUAUUGCGUAUCUCCGGCCAUGGGUCAUAAUAAGGAAUCACACCCAGAGUCCAACAAAAGGGUGCCUGCAAUCGUUGAUGCUCUUGAAAGGCUGGAGCUCACACCAAAAUACCGUAGCUCAGCGGUGUUUGAAGCUCAAAAUUUCCAACCUGCAUCCAUAGAUGAUAUUGCAAGUGUUCAUGCAAGAGCUUAUGUAGCUGGCCUUGAGAAGGCUAUGUCUAGGGCUUCAGAUGAGGGUGUUAUUUUCAUUGAUGGAUCUGGACCAACAUAUGCUACUGAAACUACCUUUCAAGAGUCCCUCAUGGCAGCUGGUGCAGGAAUUUCCUUGGUUGAUUCAGUGGUUGCAGCAUCAAGAUUGAGACCAGACCCACCUAUAGGAUUUGCCUUAAUAAGGCCACCAGGUCAUCAUGCAAUUCCUGAAGGUCCUAUGGGCUUUUGUGUCUUUGGAAACAUUGCAGUUGCUGCUCGAUAUGCUCAACGUGCACAUGGAUUAAAGCGGGUUCUUAUCAUUGAUUUUGAUGUUCACCAUGGUAACGGAACAUGUGAUGCAUUUUAUGAUGACCCGGAUAUAUUCUUCAUCUCGACUCAUCAGGAUGGAAGCUACCCUGGUACAGGUAAGAUCGGACAGGUUGGUCGAGGAAGUGGUGAAGGAACAACUCUGAACCUGCCUCUACCAGGAGGUUCAGGUGACAAUUCUAUGAGAUCUGUAUUUGAUGAGGUCAUUGUGCCAUGUGCUCAAAGGUUUAAGCCAGAGAUCAUUCUUGUUUCAGCUGGUUAUGAUGCUCAUGCGCUGGACCCAUUGGCUGGUCUGCAAUUCACAACGGGCACAUACUACAUGCUCGCAUCAAAUAUCAAACAACUUGCAAAGGAGUUAUGUGGAGGACGCUGUGUGUUCUUCUUGGAAGGUGGAUAUAAUCUGAAGUCCCUCUCAAAUUCUGUGGCUGACACCUUUCAUGCAUUCCUUGGGGAGCCAAGCUUGGCUUCGCAAUUUGAUGAUCCAGCAAUGUUGUAUGAAGAACCAUUGUCUCGAGUAAAGCAGGCCAUUCAGAAGGUCAAACAUCUACACUCCCUCUAGACACAAGAGGAGUAUUACACUGUACUCAUGUGGACCUUGUUGUUUGGCUCAACUUCUAUAUUCAUCACCAGUUCUGCAUGAGCAUCUAUGUACAUAUCCUGAACACUAGUUACUUGAAAAGAGUUGCUUGUGUCACAUUCGAAGUUCUGUAGCGGGCUUCAAUUUUGUAGACUGCAGCCUCAAGUACAUAUCAGCAGGUUAUACUGACAGUUGAUCAAGUUGAUUGUAGGCUGUUAAGGAAGCUUUGUCUUCAAAUCUUUGCUGCCCAGUCCUUGUUUGCAGGGAAGGCAGCAGUGGCACAUUAGCAGCAUUAAGUGGCUACAUGUCACACAAUAUAGAUAAGAAGAAGCUCAACCAAUGGUCAGAGUGCAGCACCCCUAACCAAGCCUCCACCAUCCAGUCCUAAUGGAAUGGCAGUUCCACCCAUAGCCUCUUACCAUGCUCUUGUGUGAUAAAUGCCUGGAAAACAUCCCAAAGGAGCCUGAGCUCAGGAAAGUGGAUGUCUCACAAACCCCUCCAUUGGGUGCAGAACAACAGUACUGUCUGCACCGCACCGCAGCCUCUUAUCUCAUCCCCUGCUCCCAGAAAGCAGCGUCUGGAAGCCACAACAAAGCACAAUUCUCUCAAGGACUUUGACAGCAUCCCACCACAGGGCUCAUGUACAUUAAAAGUGGGAAUUUGGGAUGACAAAAUUGCAUCACUUCUACGUCAUCAGACAACAGAAAAGCUCAUGAUACUUCUCCCUAAGGAAGUAGGGGGGACCCUGGGAUGAGAUCUUGGUGCCCCACGUUUAUUGGCACCAGGCAUCCAAAGUGGUGGACUUGGCCUUUUCUCCACGGCGAAUCCUCUUUGCUUGAUGUCUAGUUUUAAUGAAGCAGUGUAUCUCCUAUGGGAGUGGAGGAGGAGAAUGUGGGUGCGUGGGCUUGGCAAUGAUUGCUGGUUUUGAGACACUAAGAAAUGGUAGACACAUACAGGGUAUGUAUAUAAUAUUAAUGGCUUCUUCUCCAAGUGAUGCUCUUGUACUUUGUCACCACGUCAACCGUGCUAUUGGGAGUUUAGUAUCAUUGUUUGUUUUUGUGAAGAGAAGGGGAAAAGCGUGGUGGAAAAGGGUGACGUACUUAUUGGCAUGGCAUGACAUGAGCAUAGAUGUCGGCAUGCUAGACCCAAGGUGUUGUCCAAGUCCGCACGGUUCCAAAGAAAUGUUGGUUUAGGCCUAGGUUGGCUUGAGCCAAUUUGUGGGACUUAAUGUGAUGCAUCUUUGAUGGGGAGCACUGUUUCUGCGACUCAAAAGUGUCAUUUAUCCAUGCGUCGCAUUGCUAGUGGUCUUCUCCAUCUUCUUGUUUAUGCUUUCUGUAUUGAAAUUGUUUUGGAUCCCAUGCCAAUCUAAGCGGCUAGGAUCUUACCUA